rnacentral:rRNA from 1 species
GUGGGGAAUCUUAGACAAUGGGGGCAACCCUGAUCUAGCCAUGCCGCGUGAGUGAUGAAGGCCUUAGGGUUGUAAAGCUCUUUCAGCUGGGAAGAUAAUGACGGUACCAGCAGAAGAAGCCCCGGCUAACUCCGUGCCAGCAGCCGCGGUAAUACGGAGGGGGCUAGCGUUGUUCGGAAUUACUGGGCGUAAAGCGCACGUAGGCGGACUGGAAAGUCAGAGGUGAAAUCCCAGGGCUCAACCUUGGAACUGCCUUUGAAACUAUCAGUCUGGAGUUCGAGAGAGGUGAGUGGAAUUCCGAGUGUAGA